rnacentral:rRNA from 1 species
UGGGGAAUAUUGGACAAUGGGGGAAACCCUGAUCCAGCAAUGCCGCGUGAGUGAUGAAGGCCUUAGGGUUGUAAAGCUCUUUCGCCUGCGACGAUGAUGACGGUAGCAGGAGAAGAAGCCCCGGCUAAUUCCGUGCCAGCAGCCGCGGUAAUACGGAAGGGGCUAGCGUUGUUCGGAAUUACUGGGCGUAAAGCGCGCGUAGGCGGCCGGUCAAGUGAGGCGUGAAAGUCCUGGGCUCAACCUGGGGACGGCGCUUCAGACUGUCGGGCUCGAGUCCGGAAGAGGGUGGUGGAAUUCCGAGUGUAGAGGUGAAAUUCGUAGAUAUUCGGAGGAACACCGGUGGCGAAGGCGGCCACCUGGUCCGGUACUGACGCUCAAGUGCGAAAGCGUGGGGAGCAAACA